AUCUUUCUAGUACAAAUAGUAUGAGUGACUUCCAAUUACACGAUCCUAGUUAAACUCUAGGGGAAGAUA
rnacentral:tRNA from 1 species